rnacentral:lncRNA from 1 species
CAGGUCUUAUCAACCAAGUACCUUGCAAAUACAAAGUAAGUUUUACAAUGAUAAAGGGAAAGAUAAGUGUUAUUAUCUAUAUGCUAUGGAAAAGGAUCUAAAUAUACAGUGCCACCAAUUUUGUGUGCUUCUAUAGUCAUUUGUGUAAAAUGGGACACAGCUAGAUUUUUGUGAUGUUCCAAGCACUGAACAUUCUCAGAGAGAGCUGAAAAAAGUCAGAACCACUGACAGGGCCAUCCAUCCCAUGACCUUGGGGAGGCAAAUCUGUCAAUUCUGAUCUCCUGCACUGUUGUGUCGUAUGCAUUCUCUGCUAAAACAUGUAUGGUUUUGUGUGACUUGUCCUUUUAAACUUAUUUGUCUCUAGAUAAUACAGUGCACUCAGGUGAGGCUGGAAACUGAAGGAAUUGGGACUAAAUUACUGCUUUUUCAACACGGAGUAUAAAUUGUGGAAAGGUGAGAAUCUUGGCAUUGAGAGUGUGAGGAAUAUCUUACUCCAUGUAAUAACAAGCAUGGGAAGCAGUUUGUCCACUUCCAGUAUCUGACAGUCUCUUGCUUUCUCUUUAAUCCACCUUUCUCUAGAUCACAUUUCUGAAGCCCUGCAAGCUCUUCACUCUUCAAGAUCCAUCUCACAAUGCCAAGGCUGGCUGAUGGAGUAAAGCAAAACUUUUUCCUUUAGCAGCUAUAUUUCUCUUACUGUGUUCUUUUUUUUCCCCUUUUCCCCAUGGGAAAGAAUCUAUGUGAUGAAUAUUUUUCAGACAUCUCUUAUGGCUGUGUCUAAGGGAGAAAGGAAGAAGGAAUAAAACAGACAAAAUAUGAAAACUUUUGCAAAGACAAAACCAAGAGGGUACUUAUUACACUAAAAAUGUUACACUAAAAAGGAUGAACAGAAGGAUAACUCUGGAACAACUUGCUGAAAGAUCUUCUGCUGUUUGUCCUUUGGAAUAUAGAGAAAACCAGCUAGAGCCCCAAAAUGGCUUUUUUUGCACCUGCCUUCUGCCUCUCUGUCUCUUCCAGCUGGAAUCAGACUUGAAAUAACCAUUUGCUCUGGAUAGCUGACAUCUUUUAUCCAAGUGUGCUUCAUUUAAAUGGAGGAUCAUCAAAGUUUA